rnacentral:rRNA from 1 species
UACGUAGGGGGCUAGCGUUGUCCGGAAUCAUUGGGCGUAAAGAGCGUGUAGGCGGCCAGGUAGGUCCGUUGUGAAAACUCGAGGCUCAACCUCGAGACGUCGAUGGAAACCAUCUGGCUAGAGUCCGGAAGAGGAGAGUGGAAUUCCUGGUGUAGCGGUGAAAUGCGCAGAUAUCAGGAAGAACACCUAUGGCUAAGGCAGCUCUCUGGGACGGUACUGACGCUGAGACGCGAAAGCGUGGGGAGCGAACAGG